UAAGACGCGGUUGCCCUUAACCAGCAGCAUCCCUAUGACCAUCUCAACCCUUCAGCCCAGCAGCUACCUACCAACACUUUGUAAACAUACAUAUAUUGUUGCUCUCUUCAUCCUUAGUGACCCCCUCGCAGCCUUCCUGGUGACCUACUGGUGACCUCAUUGACACUCAGGAGCAAUGUUUCGCCUGGGAGGUGCUCGCCUGGACCCUGCUGAGGAGAGGAGACGAGCUCAGGAGGAGGAGCGCAUGGCUAAGCUCAUCGUGUAUUCCAAUAUCGGCACCUUCCUGGCCACCAUUGGUCUCAUCAGAGCAGCUCCCUAUAUCUUGGAACGGUUCUUUUGAAGUCGAGACAUCAACAGAAGAAAAUAUGAAACCUUAGAGGACAAAUUAAUGUGUUCAAUUUAUGUUUAAAAAAAAUAAAUGUAAAGAUCUUUUCAAUAAAGAUUAUAUUUAGUACCAAUA